GUAUAAAUAGUUUAUAUAAAAUAAUGAUUUGUGGAGUCAUAGAAUUAGUUAUUAAUUUAUACU
rnacentral:tRNA from 1 species